UAAUACUUUUGUGAGUGUAUUGUUGAGUGUUUUCUUUGGAAAUGAUCAUGUGUGUGGUUCUAGGCUAAUUUGUGAUAUUACACUUUAAAGUGUUUGGUGGAGAUAAGUUUUCUUUUUGCUGUAUGUAAGUUUGUAAGAUAUGCUCUUCCUUUCUGCUCCUGAGGUCUUAUGACUGCAAUAUAAUAUUUCCCCUAUUAAUUUGUCCUAUUCUUGAUCAAAACUAGUUUGGUCAUAUGUCUGUUAGUCAUGUGUCUUUGACUGAAAUAAUGGGACUGCAUGUGUGACGCUAAAGGUUAUAUAUAAGAGCGCUGUUCACCUUAAAAGGAAGGUGUCAUCUGAAGUUGAAAACUCUCUAAGCCUAUUUCUCCGGAUAUUUCUGUAUAUGUAUUCCUGUUUGCCUUGUAUGAAGGGAACAAACUUUUCAAUUACGAAUUAAAAGAGCUAUCUCCAGUCUGCUUAAGAGAUAAAGAAACAAGAGUCAGAGAUACUCCUGUGUUAUUUUUCUGUGGGGUUGAGACAAACUUUUUACAAUGGGUAAAACACAGAUAAUUGUAGUCAUAAUUUAUGUAAUUAAAGAUUUCGCAUUACUGAGAUGCCUUGACCCGGAACCAGUAGGGGACUGAUCACCCCAGGGAAAUUCCCUGGCCUCAACCUCCUCACCAAACGAGUGAGACGGGGGCCCUCUGGUCGGGCUCGGGUUGACUCAGCAUUGCGAUCUCAAGAACAAAUAAUGAGAAGGUAAAAUGGAAAGUAAGAAUGAGAAGGUCAAUGGGAAGGUAAGAAGAAGAAGAAGAAGAAGAAGAAAGUGAGAAGGUAAAAUAGAAAGUAAUAAUGAGAAGGUAAAAUGGAAAGUAAGAAUAAGAAGGUCAGUGGGAAGUUAAGAAGAAGAAGAAAAAGAAAGUGAGGAAAGUGAAGUGUUAAAAUAGAAAGUAAGAAGAAAGAGACAUCUAAAAGCAAGUCUAAAAGAGUCUGAAACAGGAGAGAUAUUUAAAAAUACAGAUUAUGUUUCAAAAACAUGCCUUACAAACUUAUUAGGAAGAGAUGUGAUGUGGGUUGGGCAUUAGAAUUGUUCCAACAAUACAUGGGUUUUAGAAUAAAUUAAACAAUGGUGUGUCAAAGAAAUGGUGUCCCAAAAUAUUACUAUGUAUAGAAUUUACACUGUUUAGCCCCAAAAAGAUUUAAAGAGAAAUUGAAGCCUCUCACACUAACUACAUUAACCUAGACUGAUGCAUUGGACUAACACAUGCUGGGUGGGGGUUGAGUGCUGGCUCAAAAGAAUAUGCUGUUCCUCCAGAUAAGAAGAUCUGUAAACAACAUACCCUGGCGUUGUUAAGAUUUUUAGCAGAAACAAGGCCACAAAAUUAGCAGCUGUGGUCCAGUAAAGUAAAGCUAUCUUAAAAAAGCACCUCAGCCACAGACAAAGAAAUAAAUUAUGUAUUUUCUGAGAAACUAGAAAGAUUUUCUAUCUAACUUCUGUAGAUAAUGGAUUCCUAACCACGCGUUAGAAACACAAAUGUUGCAGAGUUUACUUAAUUCUCAGCCCAUGUCAGAAGGAGAUAUUAUUAAAAGGCCUGA
ensembl:lncRNA